GUAAAAGCUGGUAUGUAUGAGAAACUUUAGUGAUUGAAUGGUGUGGCAAUAUAACCCGCAUAAACCGCAUGUCAUAUAGCAUAGCAUGACAUAC
rnacentral:lncRNA from 1 species